GAAAUGCGAUAAUUAAUGUGAAUUGCAGAAUUCAGUGAAUCAUCGAGUCUUUGAACGCACAUUGCGCCCCCUGGUAUUCCGGGGGGCAUGCCUGUCCGAGCGUCAUUGCUGCCCUCAAGCACGGCUUGUGUGUUGGGCUUCCGUCCCUGGCAACGGGGACGGGCCCAAAAGGCAGUGGCGGCACCAUGUCUGGUCCUCGAGCGUAUGGGGCUUUGUCACCCGCUCCCGUAGGUCCAGCUGGCAGCUAGCCUCAACCAAUCUUUUUAACCAGGUUGACCUCGGAUCAGGUAGGGAUACCCGCUGAACUUAAGC
rnacentral:misc_RNA from 1 species